AUGGAGUAACAGGGUAAAAACAGUCAGAAGGCAUCUCACCAGCAGCCUCUGGAAGAGCUCUAUAGUCAAAUAGUUUGGAGUUUCAACUUUUAAGGCAGAAGAUGACAGUGAAGUGUACUCAGUUCAGAUUUCAUCUGCCAAUGUUGAAAGGUUGAUGAGAAAGGACUGCUAUGCUGAAGAGCAAGGUUUCCAAAAACAGAAUAGCUCAACCUACAAAAUGAUGUUGGAAAGAAGUUGCAGAGGAGCAGGCGAAGGCCAAGGACCUAAAAAGGAAAAGCAGGCAUGGGGAAAUGGGGCUGGAGAGCUCACAAAUAUUUAUGGGGCAUGCAGCUCCUCUGCUAAGUGCUUUCACAGCUCAAAUCAUUUAAUUGGGAAGGUAUAAUCCCAAAGCUAUAUCAAAUAGCAUUUAGAGUUACAAAACAGAAUUUAUAUUUCAGGCUAAAAGCAAUAUCAGGGUUAGAAGGAAGCGACACUGCCUGAGAAAUAGAUGUGGGAAGAAGGGCCAUAGCAACAAUGUGUCUUGGAAUGGGCCAUAAGAACCAAUUAUUGGCCGAGGUUAUCGGGAAAAUACUAGGGCAUAUGUUGUGAUCAUAAGCAAAGAGUUUAUUGCAUCUUAUUUAAAAGCAUGUGUGGCAUCAGGGGGAUUUCUUUUCUCUACUUUGAUGUUACAAGUGGAAGGGUCUACAGCUUCCGGCUCCACCAGGAAACUCUCCUCUUCCAGGAAAGAGGAGUAGCUUAUAGGAUGCACCCAGAGGAGACACCUGCAUACCUGAUGCUGCCCUGACUGAUUGGGGAGCUAAGUCUCUUGCAGCGGGCAUAUUUGGGAAUCCAUUGUUGCUGCACAUGUAAAUCAUGGCCUUCAAAUCCAGCUGACCCUGUAGCAGAAACACAGUCCCCAUUCUGUUUCAGAACUUGGUUACCAGUGAUUUUUAUCUGCAUUGGAUCUACUUUAAUAAACCCCACAGCCUGAAUAGCAGCUACUAGGGUAGUGCCAGUGGAUGUAUAUGGAGACUGGGCUGGAAUGGCUGAGUGUGUGGGUGCGCAGCUGGGAGCAGCCAUGGCAGUAAGUAGACAGCCAGUAACUUCUGAUAAAAGGGAGUAUCUGAAAACUGAAAGGCCCCAUAGGAAUGCCAACAACAUUUCAGAAGUUUUCAACCCAAAUUAAAGACGAAAAAAGUGAAGUAGAUGAUGCAAUAAAGAGUUGGCAAAUUCCCAGCUGGGCGCGGUGGCUCACGCCUGUAAUCCCAGCACUUUGGAAGGCCAAGGCGGGCGGAUCACGAGCAUGGUCUAUAGAAGAAGAAAGAAUUCAUCAUCAUUUCUAGGAAUAUCCCCAAUCAUAAUCCUAAGACUCCAGCUCAAAACAAUAACUGGCAACUCUUCAAUAAUUAAUUAAAGGAAGGCACACCCUC
ensembl:lncRNA LINC02252 long intergenic non-protein coding RNA 2252